UGCCAAUAUAUGUUAAAAAGGAUUGCUGAGUGAUUGGCAUGCAAGACAUAAUUGACGUAUUAUAUAUUCCAAAAGCUGUACGACAUAAUAUUUGAGAAGUGGAGAACAUCCUCUAACGGAAUUACCCCCAGACAAGGAUUUCAACGCUAAACUAGGUCUCCGUACCAAACACGAAUAUGUCGGUUGCUGUUUGAAGGGCCACGUGUUCAUCACAAUUGCUCGGGAAAAAUGAGAAACUACUGUAUCGCGCCAACGAAAUGUUCUUAUUAAGGGGUUUUAGAUGUGCGCAGGGAAGGAACAAGAGUGACUGCAACCGAAUUAUAAUUACCACGUAGCAGAAUGGCACAUCGAUUGAAUCUACACUAGAAAGCGGUUCAGGAUUUAACAUUUGACUAAUGUUCAGAUUUUGCUUGCAAAUCUUAGUGCACCCAAUUACAUGUUAAAACUCGAAGUGAGCUUGAACAGUGGUAGAACAAUUUUACUUGCAAUGUUAAUUAUUUUACUUUUCUUAAACUGUUUAGUUGUUGAAAAUGUUGUUGUAUAAAAGAUUAUUUAAAAUAGGAAA